GAGGAAUAAGCAUCGGCUAACUCCGUGCCAGCAGCCGCGGUAAUACGGGGGAUGCAAGCGUUAUCCGGAAUCAUUGGGCGUAAAGCGCCUGUAGGUUGUUUGUUAAGUCUGUUGUUAAAGACUAGGGCUUAACCCUAGAAAAGCAAUGGAAACUAAUAGACUAGAGUAUGGCAGGGGUAGAGGGAAUUUCUAGUGUAGCGGUGAAGUGCGUAGAUAUUAGAAAGAACACCAGUGGCGAAAGCGCUCUACUAGACCAUUACUGACACUCAGAGGCGAAAGCUAGGGUAGCAAAAGGGAUUAGAUACCCCUGUAGUCCUAGCCGUAAACGAUGGAUACUAGAUGUUGUAAGUUUUUUACAGUAUCUUAGCUAACGCGUUAAGUAUCCCGCCUGGGGAGUACGCUCGCAAGGGUGAAACUCAAAGGAAUUGACGGGGGCCCGCACAAGCGGUGGAGCAUGUGGUUUAAUUCGAUGCAACGCGAAGAACCUUACCAGGGCUUGACAUACUACGAAUUCUUUUGAAAAAAAGAAGUGCCUUAGGGAACGUAGAUACAGGUGGUGCAUGGCUGUCGUCAGCUCGUGUCGUGAGAUGUUGGGUUAAGUCCCGCAACGAGCGCAACCCUUAUUUUUAGUUACCAAUUCGUUGGGUUCUCUAGAAAGACUGCCGGUGACAAACCGGAGGAAGGUGAGGAUGACGUCAAGUCAGCAUGCCCUUUAUGUCCUGGGCUACACACGUGCUACAAUGGCUAAGACAAAGGGUCGCAAGCUUGUGAAAGUUAGCUAAUCUCGUAAACUUAGCCUAAGUUCAGAUUGUAGGCUGCAACUCGCCUGCAUGAAG
rnacentral:rRNA from 1 species